CUUCUGUCUUGAGAAGAAACUUGUAACCAACCGGAGAAGCCAAGGCAGACCCCCCUGGUUCUGGAAAGCCGACUAACGCUAGCUAACCCUAUGAAUAUUUUCGUAAGAUCAAACGGAUUGAGCCAUAGUUACUCCACGUUGCUUGCGAUCCGCACUGCCCGCGUUAUAAGAUCCAAAUUGACACGCCACGCGGCCAGGAAGUGUGGAGAGCCCAUUCUGCUCCAAUGAAAAGGUGAUUGAGCCUUUUUUGCAAGCGAUCUUGAACUAAUUCACGGAGGGAAAACGGGGAGUCAAUCUUCGUGGAGGACAAACUGCUCGCGUCAUCGUUCUUGUGUCAGCUCGCGAGCGUCGUUCGACAGUAAGUCCAUCGAUCUCGUCUCUGUUCGUCUCGACUUUUUCUCUCGUCAUCAGCAGAGGAUCGCCCCCGAGACCGCUGUUGUGGCAGUUCGCAGCGGUUGCUGCAUGGCUCUGCCGUGUAGAUUGUGCAAAAAGACUGAUCAAGUAGCUAAUGGUGCUGCAGCUGUUGUCUUAAGCUUUCGACCUCUCUUUGGCAAUGCUGGUAACAUCAUAGAAGUAGCACGACAGAAAAGCUAAUGAAUGGGAAAGCAUUGGUGUGGUGCAUGUCAUACAAUGUGAAAGUUCUGAAAGCGUUACAUGGAUUUCCAUGGCCAUAAUGACUGAUGAGGACUGAUGGAACAGAUGAUCCUAAGACUGAGUAGACAAGUACAACUGCAGGCAGGGUCUGUAAGGAAAGAACCUGCAUAUGAUAUUUUUCUAAUGGAUGUGUUGGGGAUAUUUUACUCGUAAGUAGAAGUUUGAAGCAUUAUUUAAGUAUACAGAAGUGAGCUUUCCUUCAUCGAAUCCUGAUUAAAUUAACUACAGUAGUUUCUACCAAUUGAAUUUGGUGUUUGAUCA